AAUUCCUUUUAAGUUUCUCCUCAGUCCUGGCCUGGGCUGGGCUGCAGGAAGCUACUGGCGGUUCCCCAAUGUGGAUAAUCAGAUCUGUCUCUACCCGGGCUGAUGCGGGUGGGGACGAGCUCAGUGCCCCAGAGUCUCAGAAGUAGGCACAGAAUCAUCUCGCCGGUCUUAAUUUCUGUCCCUGGACUGGGGAGAGCGGAGGACAGGGGCACGAGAGGCUCUCCUCUCCUCCUCCCCUUUCCUCCACCUCCCAAAAUUGGCAGCCAGUCCGUGGCUCCCGGUCUGGGGUCUGGAGGGUGGGGAAUGUGGGUGUGGGGGCCGGCUGGAGAAGCUCUCGCUAGCGCUGCCUGUGGCCAGACCCGCCUCCCGUCCCCUCUCGGGCGCACACACACGUCCACCCAGACACACUCCGCGCUCCCUCGCGCUCUUCCUCGCCCGCCCGCUGCUGCUAGCUCUCUCCCUCCAGCUCUCCCGGUCUCCUUCUCCUUUUUUUUUUUUUUUUUUUUUUUUUGGUACCAUAGAGUUGCUCUGAAAACAGAAGAUAGAGGGAGUCUCGGAGCUCGCCAUCUCCAGCGAUCUCUACAUUGGGAAAAAACAUGGAGUCAGCUCCAGCAGCCCCCGACCCCGCCGCCAGCGAGCCGGGCAGCAGCGGCGCGGACGCGGCCGCCGGCUCCAGGGAGACCCCGCUGAACCAGGAUUCCGCCCGCAAGAGCGAGCCGCCCGCCCCGGUGCGCAGACAGAGCUAUUCCAGCGCCAGCAGAGCCACUGUAUGCCUCCUUCCUGAAGGUGACUUUACAAUCUCCAGACACAGACAUUUCUCUCAGAAGUGGAGUGAAGGAAGGAGAACCACAAGCUAAAGGCAAUGGAAAGAGGGAAAGUUGGCACUUUGAGAAGUUGUGAUGAACUUGUCGAGAAUGCCAAUUGACAAAGGCAGUUUUAAAGAAACCUGAAGAAAUGGACCCAGACAGAGAAAAGACAGUCAGAUGUGAGUCUGCCCUCCAGAAGCAAAGAGGCUUCCAUCAUCCCAUACGAUCGAUGCCAGUCAUGGGGAAGGAGCCACUGUAUAGAAGUGAAUGGAUUUUCAACAUACAGAUCACAGAAGACACAAGAUAUAUUUAGCAAGUGUAAAAACUCUUCAGUAAACUGCCUUGCUUUUCGUUUUCACUGCACAGUAAUAAACCCAGCACAUGGUAAAAAGGCCACAGUAACCAUAUAGCAUGUAGUCCUAGGAACAUUUGUGUGAUGGGGCCAUGAUGUCUGGAAGGACAGGGCAACAGGGAGAGUGAACUGCCCAGAACUCCCACUUGUCCAGGUAAUGAAGCAUUGGGAAAGCAGAGGCAAAUGAAAUACUCCGAUAAUCAAAAAUGAUUCCUCUUUUGGUGACCGUGUUAGUUGACAGGUGGUGACAAGUGAGAAAUUGCCAGAGGUGUGUGUUACCAUUUCUGGCGCUCACAGACCACUUCUGAUGAACACGGUUAUGCAGAGAGUGGGCAGUUUCUAUAGGCCGGGCUGUCCGCCCAGAAGAUGUAAACCUUCACAGUGUAAAGGAUGAAGGUUGACCAUCAGGGAGGUUCUGCAACUUCCUUGAGGCCCCGCAGAGGAUCAGGGAGGAAGCUGAUGCUACUUGGAAAGGGCUCUUGAAAUUUCUCAUCUGGAGCUUGGGGGUAUAAGUUAGAUUUGUAGUGCUUACUCUAUCUAUAUGAUAAUAGAUAAUAGACAGAGAUUGAUACAGAAAUACGGUGCUGCCACUUCUCAUGUUUUAUUAGAAUAAAGCCUGUCAGAGCCAGAAGGGGUCUAUGAAUCAUCUGGCCUAGCCCCUUGUCUAAACCGAUACCCAGAGAUCUAAUUGUGUGAACUCCCGUUCCUAGUACGCAGAGAGGCUGUGCCUGCAACAGUAGUCUUCUGCUUCCUUACCUAAUAAUUAGUUCCUUCCACUUUUGUGCUGUGCCAGGAUGCUCAAGUUCCAAUAAGCUACACCAUCAAGUUCCCGUCUCCCAGGGAAGGCCCCCGAGGAUACUAAGAUGAACAGGAGUUAAUCCAGCAUUAGGUAGUGGAUAUCUAUGAAAGUCAGCGCAAGGUGUUUUGGCUGUUCAUCAAUAGUGGAGCAUUGUCAGUAAUUGUUAGUUUUUAAAGUCCCACUGGUCAUUUUUAUUUUUAAUUAAGAAUUAGCCAGGGAGCUUGUGGCUGUGUCAGUAAAGCCAUUCUAAAGCAUAAAAAUAGUGCCUGCACGUCACGGUCUGGCUUAGUGGAGAGUAAAGGACAGGAUAUGGAGCUGAGCAUCUUGUACUCAGGGCUUGUGGGAGCUAGACGCAGCUGGGAGGGGUCGGGGGAGGGCGGUGGCGGGGAUGGAUCUCAGCAGCAGUCCUCCUGCAAGGCAGCCAGUUUAAGGUUGUGCCUUUUAUGAGAUGUCAAGAGCAAGUCUGCAAAUGGAAUACUACACAGCCAGUGAAAAUCAUAUUGUACUAGAAAAAUAUUUCUUAACUGGGGGAAAUGUUUAUGAUCUAUUGCUUAGUGAAAAAUCACAGCUUCCGUAGUGUUGUGCACAGAAUGGUAUCCUCUUUGUGAAAACUAUAGUGUGUGUAUGUGUAUAUGUGUGUGUAUGUGUAUAUGUAUGUGUAUUUAUAUGUGUAUAUGUGUGCAUGUAGACACAUGCGCACAUAUACACAUAUUAACAUAUGGAACCACAUAUACCUAAAUGAUAAAGUUAUAAAGUGGUCAUCUCUGGAUGGUGGGAUCAUUUACAAGUUUCUUUUCCUUUGUGCUCUUCUGUAUUUCAUUGUUUCCUGCAGUAUGCAUGUAUUAUUUUUGUAACUAGAAAAAAAUAAAUUUUUAUUUCAAAAUAA